UUUUAGCUAAUGUUAAAAAUAUUUUAUAACUACUGUAUUAUCUCAUUAUGAAGAUGAAUAAAUUUAUAUAUCGUGUACAGUCCUUUUAUAAAAAUCAUAAUCUUUCCCAAAUACGCAUAAGACAACCCCUGUAUCUCAAUAAAUUUUAUUCUACAAACUCAGAAGUUGCUAGAGAAUAUGAUACACCAAUAGAAAAUAUCCGUAAUUUCAGUAUUAUAGCACAUGUUGAUCAUGGUAAGAGCACCCUUGCUGACAGAUUACUGGAAAUAACAGGUGCAAUAGAAGUCAACUCUGGUAAACAAAUAUUGGAUAAACUACAAGUUGAGAAAGAACGUGGAAUCACUGUUAAAGCGCAAACGGCGUCAGUUAACUACACAUACAAAGGAAUUAAAUAUCUGCUUAAUCUGAUAGAUACACCUGGACACGUUGACUUCUCUGCUGAAGUACACCGUUCGUUAACUCCCUGCCAAGGAGUAAUUUUAAUAGUAGAUGCAAAUGACGGUGUACAAGCACAAACCGUGGCCAAUUUUCAUUUAGCUGUUAAACACAAUCUAGUCAUAGUGCCAGUAAUCAAUAAAAUAGAUUUAAAAUACGCCAAUCCCGACAGAGUUGUAAAUCAGUUAGAAACAUUAUUUGAUAUAAAGCAGUCAGAUGUGUUAAAGAUAUCUGCUAAAUUAGGUACUGGAGUAUCUAAAGUCUUGGACGCUGUAGUGGAGAGAAUUCCACCCCCUGAUGUAUGUAGAGACAAGCCAUUCAGAGCUUUGAUAUUCGAUAGCUGGUAUGAAAAAUAUAAAGGAACAAUUUUACUGAUAUAUAUCAAAGAAGGAUCUUUAUCCCUUAAACAACACGUUGUUUCAAUGUACAAUAAGAAGCCUUAUGAAGUUAGAACUAUUUCGCUGUUGAGACCCUCCGAAGAAGUUGUAAAUAAAUUGUUUGCAGGUCAAAUAGGAUGCAUUUCUUGUAAUUUAAAAUCUUCCAACGAAACGAUUAUUGGCGAUACGUUACAUCUGAAAGAUUAUGUUACUGAACCUUUACUAGGGUUUAAAGCACCGAAACCAAUGGUUUUUUCGGGCCUUUAUCCGAUUGAGAAGUCGGAAUUUGAAGUUUUGAAAACCGCUAUCGAGAAACUAAUAUUAAAUGAUAGUAGCGUUACUGUUGCAAUGGAAACCAGUGUAGCUCUUGGACAAGGCUGGAGACUUGGAUUUUUGGGCUUACUACACAUGGAAGUAUUUAUGCAACGACUUGAACAAGAAUAUGGUGCACAUUCAGUUGUGACGACGCCCAGUGUUACAUAUAAAGCAAAAAUUUUUGGCAAGAAGAAUGUUAAACAAUACAGGACUGAUAUGAUUUCAUUCAAUAAUCCUGCAAAUUUUCCUGAUCCUAACAUUGUCGAAGAAUUUUAUGAACCUAUGGUAUUAGGAACUAUUAUAGCACCAAUUGAGCAUAUAGGUACAGUUAUGAAUUUAUGUUUUGAAAGACGAGGAAUACAACAAAUGACGAAAGAUAUUGGUCAUAACAGAACAAUGUUUCAAUUUUUACUGCCAUUGAAUGAAAUUAUUGUUGAUUUCCAUGAUGUACUAAAACGUGUAACUUCGGGAUAUGGUACUUUUGAUUAUGAAGACAGUGGUUAUGAGCCUGCAAACAUCGUAAAGUUAAAUAUUGCUUUAAAUGGUAAAGUAGUUGAAGAAUUUAGUACUAUUGUACACGCUAGCAAAGCUCGGGCAAUAGGCAGACAAAUAUGUGAAAAAAUGCUAAAUAUUCUUCCACGUCAAAUGUUUGAAAUAGCGAUUCAAGCAAUCGUUAGCGGGAAAGUGCUCGCGAGAGAAAACUUAAAAGCAUACAAAAAAGAUGUAACUGCGAAAUUGUAUGGUGGUGAUGUUACUAGAAGGAUGAAAUUAUUAGCUCAACAAGCAGAAGGGAAAAAGAAAAUGAAAAUGAUUGGAAAAAUAUGCGUACCACGAGAAACAUUCAUAAAUCUUCUUAAGAAAUAGUAUAAGUACAGUCUUCUUUUAUAUUCAAUAAUUAGGUGAGGGGUCUGACAACUGGUGUGUGCUAUUUGAUACGAUGUGGAUGCUGGAUCUUGCAUAUCCAAUUGACUUUGAGCAAUAUCUUGUAGAGCAGCUUGAAUUCUUUGCAGAAGUGCUUCACCCUGUUUUACAACUUCUUCUAGUUGUUCACCAGCUUCUUGAUUUUCUUGUUCAAGGCGACUGAGACUUGCAACUUGCAGUUCCUGCGAUGAUUCCUCACUUGGUAAACUUUCUAUCAAGGUAUCGAUAUCUUUUGCACACCUUGCUAUAAGUGUUGCGAAUAAAGCUGCAUAAUCUAAAAUAUAAGUAUUGUUUAUAUGAAAAUUCAUAAAAUUUAAAUGAAAUAAAUUGCAUAUGAAAAAUACCUUCUUGAGGCUGAUGCGGUUGAGGUGUUCCAACACGAUCAAAACCAGGAAAUUUGCUGGGUGUUGAAUACUGUUGUAAAAUACCUACGCUGUUACAAAAAUGUUCUGCUUGCUAGAAUAAUAAUAAGCGAAACUCAUUUUUUUACCUAUUGUGUUUAUGAAUAAUUUGUACAAACAAGUUACCUGAUUUAUAGUAUCUUGUAACUGUGUUAAACGAUCUGCCAUAUUUUUCAAAUAUAACCUUCAAAAUUGUGUAACAAUUAUGUAUAAUCAACGACACUAUUCCACAUAUAACAUCACUGUAAUUAAAUAUAAUACACAAUUUUCUAUCAUAGAAUAUAUUUAUAUAAAGUC